rnacentral:rRNA from 1 species
UACGUAGGGCGCGAGCGUUGUUCGGAAUUACUGGGCGUAAAGGGCUCGUAGGCGGCCAACUAAGUCGGACGUGAAAUCCCUCAGCUUAACUGGGGAACUGCGUCCGAUACUGGAUGGCUUGGAUUUGGGAGAGGGAUGCGGAAUUCCAGGUGUAGCGGUGAAAUGCGUAGAUAUCUGGAGGAACACCGGUGGCGAAGGCGGCAUCCUGGACCAAUAUUGACGCUGAGGAGCGAAAGCCAGGGGAGCAAACGGG